GGGUUGUGAGGUUAAGCGAACAAGCGUACACGGUGGAUGCCCUGGCAGUCAGAGGCGAUGAAGGACGUGCUAAUCUGCGAAAAGCGCCGGUAAGGUGAUAUGAACCGUUAUAACCGGCGAUGUCCGAAUGGGGAAACCCGGUGCACUUCGGUGCAUCAUCGUUAGCUGAAUACAUAGGCUAACGAAGCGAACCGGGGGAACUGAAACAUCUAAGUACCCCGAGGAAAAGAAAUCAACCGAGAUUCCCCCAGUAGCGGCGAGCGAACGGGGAACAGCCCAGAGCCUGAAUCAGCUUGUGUGUCAGUGGAACGGUCUGGAAAGGCCGGCGAUACAGGGUGACAGCCCCGUACACGAAGGCACACAGGCUGUGAGCUCGAUGAGUAGGGCGGGACACGUGAUAUCCUGUCUGAAGAUGGGGGGACCAUCCUCCAAGGCUAAAUACUCCUGACUGACCGAUAGUGAACCAGUACCGUGAGGGAAAGGCGAAAAGAACCCCGGCGAGGGGAGUGAAACAGAACCUGAAACCGUGUACGUACAAGCAGUGGGAGCCUUCGUAAGAGGGUGACUGCGUACCUUUUGUAUAAUGGGUCAGCGACUUAUAUUCUGUAGCAAGGUUAACCGUAUAGGGGAGCCGAAGGGAAACCGAGUCUUAACCGGGCGUUAAGUUGCAGGGUAUAGACCCGAAACCCGGUGAUCUAGCCAUGGGCAGGUUGAAGGUUGGGUAACACUAACUGGAGGACCGAACCGACUAAUGUUGAAAAAUUAGCGGAUGACCUGUGGCUGGGGGUGAAAGGCCAAUCAAACCGGGAGAUAGCUGGUUCUCCCCGAAAGCUAUUUAGGUAGCGCCUCGUGAACUCAUCUCCGGGGGUAGAGCACUGUUUCGGCUAGGGGGCCAUCCCGGCUUACCAACCCGAUGCAAACUGCGAAUACCGGAGAAUGUUAUCACGGGAGACACACGGCGGGUGCUAACGUCCGUCGUGAAGAGGGAAACAACCCAGACCGCCAGCUAAGGUCCCAAAGUCAUGGUUAAGUGGGAAACGAUGUGGGAAGGCCCAGACAGCCAGGAUGUUGGCUUAGAAGCAGCCAUCAUUUAAAGAAAGCGUAAUAGCUCACUGGUCGAGUCGGCCUGCGCGGAAGAUGUAACGGGGCUAAACCAUGCACCGAAGCUGCGGCAGCGACACUAUGUGUUGUUGGGUAGGGGAGCGUUCUGUAAGCCUGCGAAGGUGUGCUGUGAGGCAUGCUGGAGGUAUCAGAAGUGCGAAUGCUGACAUAAGUAACGAUAAAGCGGGUGAAAAGCCCGCUCGCCGGAAGACCAAGGGUUCCUGUCCAACGUUAAUCGGGGCAGGGUGAGUCGACCCCUAAGGCGAGGCCGAAAGGCGUAGUCGAUGGGAAACAGGUUAAUAUUCCUGUACUUGGUGUUACUGCGAAGGGGGGACGGAGAAGGCUAUGUCGGCCGGGCGACGGUUGUCCCGGUUUAAGCGUGUAGGCUGACUUUCCAGGCAAAUCCGGAAGGUUAAGGCUGAGGCGUGAUGACGAGGCACCACGGUGCUGAAGUGACAAAUGCCCUGCUUCCAGGAAAAGCCUCUAAGCAUCAGGUAACAUCAAAUCGUACCCCAAACCGACACAGGUGGUCAGGUAGAGAAUACCAAGGCGCUUGAGAGAACUCGGGUGAAGGAACUAGGCAAAAUGGUGCCGUAACUUCGGGAGAAGGCACGCUGACAUGUAGGUGAAGCCCCUGCGGGUGGAGCUGAAGUCAGUCGAAGAUACCAGCUGGCUGCAACUGUUUAUUAAAAACACAGCACUGUGCAAACACGAAAGUGGACGUAUACGGUGUGACGCCUGCCCGGUGCCGGAAGGUUAAUUGAUGGGGUUAUCGCAAGAGAAGCUCCUGAUCGAAGCCCCGGUAAACGGCGGCCGUAACUAUAACGGUCCUAAGGUAGCGAAAUUCCUUGUCGGGUAAGUUCCGACCUGCACGAAUGGCGUAAUGAUGGCCAGGCUGUCUCCACCCGAGACUCAGUGAAAUUGAACUCGCUGUGAAGAUGCAGUGUACCCGCGGCAAGACGGAAAGACCCCGUGAACCUUUACUACAGCUUGACACUGAACAUUGAGCCUUGAUGUGUAGGAUAGGUGGGAGGCUUUGAAGCGUGGACGCCAGUCUGCGUGGAGCCGACCUUGAAAUACCACCCUUUAAUGUUUGAUGUUCUAACCUGGCGCCAUAAUCUGGCGUGGGGACAGUGUCUGGUGGGUAGUUUGACUGGGGCGGUCUCCUCCCAAAGUGUAACGGAGGAGCACGAAGGUCAGCUAAUCCUGGUCGGACAUCAGGAGGUUAGUGCAAUGGCAUAAGCUGGCUUGACUGCGAGAGUGACGGCUCGAGCAGGUGCGAAAGCAGGUCAUAGUGAUCCGGUGGUUCUGUAUGGAAGGGCCAUCGCUCAACGGAUAAAAGGUACUCCGGGGAUAACAGGCUGAUACCGCCCAAGAGUUCAUAUCGACGGCGGUGUUUGGCACCUCGAUGUCGGCUCAUCACAUCCUGGGGCUGAAGUAGGUCCCAAGGGUAUGGCUGUUCGCCAUUUAAAGUGGUACGCGAGCUGGGUUUAGAACGUCGUGAGACAGUUCGGUCCCUAUCUGCCGUGGGCGCUGGAGAAUUGAGGGGGGCUGCUCCCAGUACGAGAGGACCGGAGUGGACGCAUCACUGGUGUUCGGGUUGUCAUGCCAAUGGCACUGCCCGGUAGCUAAAUGCGGAAGAGAUAAGUGCUGAAAGCAUCUAAGCACGAAACUUGCCCCGAGAUGAGUUCUCCCUGAGACU
rnacentral:rRNA from 1 species